AGCUUGGGGCUGCUUGGUAGGAACUACAAACUGAUCUGUAUUUGGUUUCUGCUUGUGCUUGGCUUGGAGGUACUUGGGCGAGCACACUAGGCCAGCUGUCACAUGUACCAGGCAUUUCUUAAGGGCCUCACGUAUAUGAGCUCCUGUGAUCCUGUGACAAACCUGCAAGCACUGCAGUGACAUUGUUCCACCAGUUUUUUUCCUCCAUGAUAUCUGAUAAGAGCCUCACCCCAAAAGAUGAAGGACAGAAAUAAUUAAAACAGCUGUGUAUACAUAUAAAUUUAUGACAACUAUCACAACAGAAAGCCUGGAUGCCAAAG